rnacentral:rRNA from 1 species
UACGUAGGGGGCAAGCGUUGUCCGGAUUUAUUGGGCGUAAAGAGCGUGUAGGCGGUCAGGUAGGUCCGUUGUGAAAACUCGAGGCUCAACCUCGAGACGCCGAUGGAAACCAUCUGACUAGAGUCCGGAAGAGGAGAGUGGAAUUCCUGGUGUAGCGGUGAAAUGCGCAGAUAUCAGGAAGAACACCCGGUGGCUAAGGCGGCUCUCUAGUACGGUACUGACGCUGAGACGGCGAAAGCGUGGGGGAGCGAAACAGG